GAAAAAUAAUCCGUCGAAUCUGUCGAAAUCAAAAACACUUCCAAGACAAAAACACUCUUAACUCUUAACGAAAACACUCCCUUCUUCUCUCCACUGCAGAAACCCUAGUCACUGUCGCCGUUGUCCAUCGCCGUUCGCCGUCGCUGGUUGUAGAGGUCAUCGCAGAGAGAUGGGAAUCUACUGUAAUUUGAUCGUUGGAUGCUCUUCAGUCCUUUAUCAGUUGAUGUUCAUAUUUUUGUAAUUUAGAUAGUUUUUGUAUUAGAUGGCUCUUGUACAUUUUUUUAUUAGUUCUAAGGAAUGACUAAUUUAGAUAUUUUUGUAAUA